UGUAUGUUACAAGAAGGAAAUAAAUGGAAAGAAGACAAAUAGUACUCGUUGAAUUUUUAUCUUUUUUUAAGUUUGCUGAUUUUUCAGGAAGACUAAACUAAUUGCUUUCGAACAGCUUGUAUUUUUUUUUAUAUAAAAAGAGAUUAAGUCAUGAAAAUGGCCAUGUUCGUGAGGUCACUGCGGCUGCGACACCGCGGCCUGCAACCAGCAACUAGUCUUAGAUCGCAUUUUGUAUUCAUUUUACUGUCACUUGACUGGUCGCUUGAUCAGUCAAAAGUCUUAUUUCAUAUAGUUAAAAAAUUAGCGACUAAAUAUAAAAUUUUCAAUGACCUGCAUCUAGUCGCGCAAGAUUCUUCGACAAUCAAACAAACAAACAUUUGGUAACAGGUCGCAGUUGGCCAAUAUAUUUAUAUUCUAGAAAUGAACUAAAAUAAUCCAAAAAUAAAUAAUACCAACGAGUAAAAGGAAAACCCAUGGAUCGUGUUUGACACGCAUGACAAUUGUUAGGAUAAAACAAUAUGAGGUUCUUAGUUCUUCGUGAUACAGCAAAAAUAGAAAAUAAGAUAAUUAUGGAGAUCAAAUGCCGUUUUUUUAUUAAUCUUAAGAGCAUGAGUACAACUUAUUAGUCUAUAAACCCUUUGUUACAUGUCAGCUUCUUAGUCGAAAGUGUUUCAGUCUUCUAAGAUUUUAGAGUCCUUUAUAUAGGUAGCUUUGGGCGAGAUCUCUGUUAGAUUUGACUAUAUCCUAAGAUAUGAACUAUCUUUCUGUAUCCAGAAGUUUUCAUUUUACCCCAUAGGCAAGAAAAAUGCACUAUCCAGAGGCCGAAAGCUAGAAAUCCGGAGACAGAAGGUCCGCGUCCUUCUUUACCAAGGAGGAUUUGCUCUGGGCUUAAUUAUCUCCAAAAUUCUGACCCUUAUUUUCCGAGUUAAUGUUUGAAGUCGGAAAAUAACUUGUACUUAUAUGAUGACCUGAAUAGUACCUUCGCAACAAGUUCUUUAUGCCUUAGAGUUGUUUAGGAGUAUAUUUUUCUAAGUGUCAGAGCACUUGUAAUCGAUGUUAAAGGAAUAAGAAAAUAGUUUUAUCUAAGUAUUGAAUUUGAAUGUCUUUUGUUAACUAAAAUGAUAUUGGCAUAGACCAAGAGACGAUAAACUUAUCAUGGAACGAUGGAAGUCUAAUUAAGGGAAUAACGGGCCACAAAGCCAAUUAAGAAAGUUUGGCCGUUGGACAAUGUGAGUUCCAAGUAAGACAAGUUUGACUAAGUUAUCGCAAUGGGGAUUAUACAACAUGAAGUUCAGUUAUGUAGGAGUCAAAUAAGGAAAGAAUCUUAGAGACAGAGUCGAAACAUUUAUGGUAGGAUUUGACCAUGACAGAUAAGGAAACAACAUUGAUACUUGAUAGCCUGUCUUGGUGAGGAAGUAUACAGAACGUUAUAAAAAGGAUGUUCAACUCUCAUUUCUCUGACAACUCAGAAAACGAGUCCGAGAGAGAAGUUAGAGAGGAGAAACGAGUCAGUAGCGAGAGAGAAGUUCAAGAAGAGGGAUCGAGCAAAGAGGGGCUGAGGAGUUCAUCGCCGGAAAAUCCUAGGAAGUUCAGAGUCUUUGAAUCUUUGAGAUUUAGCUAAGGUGAGGACUUGAUUUGUGGCAAACUUGUUAGCAUAAUGUUUUUAGUAAAUUUGAUCUGAAAAUGCUAUGGUAUGGGAAUGAAUGUUGCGUUUACGAAAAGUUUUUAAAGGGUGAGGUCUUGGGUUUGAAACUCACAAACAACCUAAUUAUGGAGUCAGAGAGAACUCAUAAUAGAGGGGUUGGUGUCGGUGCCCUGCAAGGCUGUGAGCCGGAUUCCGAAUGAGCGGGAUGGAUUGUCACAAAAAAAAUCGACUUUUUAUGUGACGAUCUAUCCUGCGGACCCCAGAUUUCACAGUGCUGCAAUUGGUGACAACUUGUCUUGUGGAGAGUUUUUAAAGGGUGAGGUCUUGGGUUCGAGUAACGCCAACCGCAUCAAUAACCUACCGGUGGAUGUGGAGGCAGUUCCUCCCACGGUGAAGGGUUAGGGUCGUUGCGCUGCAGCGCUGUGAAAUCUGAAUUCCGCAGGACAUGUUGUCACGGUCUAAGACCAUCAUUAUCCCAGGUCCUUAAGUGGAGUUUUUAAGAAAAUCAGUGAUUUAUUUAAAUCAAAAGUAAUUAAAAUAGCAGUAGUCGAUCCUUAAUAGAAGACUUUGGAAACCGAUUUAGAGUGGAGUUUUUAAAACACGUGUCAGAAAAUUCUGAAAUUUCAAUUUUUUUAUCUCUCUUUUCUUCUGUUUCUCGUCGUCUCCUUCUCCUCUAGGCUUCUUCGUUGGACGAUACAAGCUCCCCUGAGUUAACAACAAAAGCACUCUUCUUUCGUUUCUUCAGCUACCAAAUCCUCUUUCUCUCCAGGACAUGACAAAGGAAUAAAAGUGGUUACGUUUUGUAUCAGUCACGUUUUGUAUGCUUCUGUGGGAGCAGCAACGUUUUGUAUCAUCGGCCUAGUGAAGAAGUGUCAUUGUCGUCACUCACGUUUUGUAUGCUAGUGUAUUAUCAGUAUACAAACUUUUGUAUCAUUGUCGUCAUAUUCUUCAUUCUCAAUCUUUUCAAUGUUUUUUUGUUUUUCUUGUUAUCUUUUCAAUGUUUUUUGUUUUGUUUUGUGUAUAUCAUGCUUAAUGAUCUAGUAUGUUUGACAGCUUGUAACACACCUUGGUGUUUAUCCGAGGUGAUGUUGUGUUCACAAGCAAACUCACUGACGAGGAGGCGAAAUGGAUCAUGGAGACGGCUCAGUCGUUUUACUUGAACGACACUCGGUACAAGCUGCUCGAGAAGUAAUAAAAACUGAAACGAUUCUUGUGUUCUUGAGACACGCUUGUAUUAGAAUUGUUUUUGUAUGGUAAUAAAAACUACAUCACCAAAUGGUUGAGAAUACUUCUCUUUUGUAUGAUUUAUAUAAUACAAACUAUGUGUAUACUGAUAAGAACUGAAGUGUAUAUUGAUGAAGAACCUCCCAAUAACACUUCUCUUCAUU